GGCGCGUCCUACCCGGCAGGAUGCCGGCCGCGCUCCGGACCGUGGGGUCCUGUGGUGUGGUGGUUACCCCAGUGAGCGCUCGGCCAAGCGCUCGGAGUCCGUAGCUUGGCGGGACUUACUCUUCUCUGCGCCGUUAUUUCUAGUUGUUUUUUGUCCCCCUUUUAGGAAUGGUUGGCUGGGAAUCCCCGGCUCACGUGACCUCAAAGUGGGAUCCGGAAGGGGAAAACGACACGGACUCUGUGGACCCCAGUGACUCUCCGGUCUGUUCAGAGCAAGGACUGCCGUUUACAUGCAACUGUGUGCUCUCAACAGCAGAGUAACUGUGAGAGGACUGUGCCGUGUUCUUACAAUGGAACUCUGUAUGGCAAUACAAGUCAACAAGCCCUUAAUAUACUACUGAGUGAGAGAAAACACACAAAUAGUAAAUCUGGACACUUGUACUUGUAUACAUUUUGGGGGGAGAAGUUUCCUAUGUUAUUAGAUAAGAAGACAGUGGUUAUCUUGGUGGAAAGUGGGGUCCUGUGGGACCUUCUGGCUGCUGGUUGUGACAUACUUUGCUCUGGGUCACACUGGUGUUUGGACAUUGUGAAAAGUCACAGACCCAAACGCUUAAGAAUUGUGCACAUUUUUUGCACCUGUUUUACUUUCGCAAAAACAACAUCAAGAAAAACAUUCUUUGCCUUGAUUGAGAUAUUUAUCUAGCAAAAUAAAUAAAAUCCAGCCUUUAAUGUAGAAAUCGCUCUCUGCUGAGGAUGUUUUCUAAGCACUUUGAAACAUAUUAAACCAUUGCGUCCUCAUUUUAAAGGAUAAGAAACUGAUACAGAAAUCUUAAGUAACUCACUCAAAUCACAGUAAGUAGCAGAGUUGAUGUUUGAACGCUCCAGUGAGCCAGGGGAGUCCUGCUGCACAGUCUGGGUGUGUAAUCUCAAUCUCUACUAAACAGAAAAAGAGUUUUCAACGCCAUUCUCUCACAAAGUAAUUCCCAGACUGGAAGUGGUAAUGUCUUGGGGAGGGAUCCAUCCAGGAUUGGAACCCAAAUGGACUGAAGAUUUGCCGGAAGCUGUGUGGCAAUGACACUGACAGUGACUUGGAAUGUAGGGUGGGAAAGACGACGAAACGCAGAGCAGAUGGAUACAGGGAAGAAAAAAUUAAUGAAGACAGAAACCACAUUUGGCAUGGAAAUGUAGGUGUUGGACAAGUGAGUAAGAUUUGAGGCUGUAAACUACCCUCACUUUCCUGGCUGUGAGCAGAGUGGCGCAGCGGAAGCGUGCUGGGCCCAUAACCCAGAAGUCGAUGGAUCGAAACCAUCCUCUGCUAGGUUUUUCUUCUCACGUUUGGCCUCUGCUUCCUUCACCACGAAGCAAAAAUUCUACUCGAGGGGAUGCAAAUGACCCGGCAACCUUCCUGUCCUCUACUCGGACAGGGUCACCUCAUUUUCACCGCUCCAACUACGUUCAAAGCUCCCCAAAUAACGGAAGAUGCCCUCAGUUUCUUUUAAUUUCCACCUCAACUGCCUGCUCCCUCACUGCUUGCUGGACUCUCAGAGGUGCUUGGAAAUACAUGAUGAAGCUGAGAAGCAUGACCAUGAAUGUCCAUGACCGUGACCAUGGCCGUGCACAUUUCUCCACUGCAGGGCAUCCAGUCCUUAAAGGGGAUGAAGUCCCCGUCCACUGUGGAGGAGAGGGUCAGAGAAGAACCUGGAAUAAAGGGACCAUGAUUUGGCCAAGGACUUACCUCACCUUGACAGUGAGAUGUUUCCGGUAAGUGCAGGCUGACUUGGGUAUAGAUUCGUGACAUGGUCCAGGACAUUUGAUGUUCUCCAUUCUGUGGGUCCCGAUAUACAUGUUAUCAAAAGAAUUACUUUGAAAAUGUUUUGUGUAGCUAAACACAGUUAGAUGGAUUUUUAAAUUACAUAUUAUAUAAAAAUAAAGACUGAACAGCAUUGAUCCAGUGACACAUUGGAAAAACAAUAGAAAAUCAGCAAAUAUUACACAAAGAAAUCUCAGAGAAGGAAAUGAAGAAAAUGGCUCAUUUAAUGCUUUAGACUAGAAACAUAAAUGUAGAUUAUCUACAAAGCUGAAAUUUUAUCUGAAAAAAAGAGAGAUAAAAUUGCUAAAUCCUUGGGUAAACUUAUCAAGUAAUAAAGAAAGAAGCUAUACAGCUGCUCUCAGAAAUGGAGAGUGCUUUUUCAUUUAAAAAUGGGGGGGGGGGAGAGCGAGAGAGGGAGAGGCUGAAUGGCAAGCUGCCAAGGCAGAGAUAGAUCUAAUCUUCCUAGGGAUUCCUAGGAAGAGACUCAACUGUGGUUAGCAUCCCUUAAAUACAUUAACUCAUACUUGUUAACCAUAUAAUGGGAUUUUGCAUCUGAAAUCUGUGCCCAGAAUGAGUCAAAGCCUCACUUCAUUUUUAGUCCGUCUCUCUUCACCACUGUCCUUGACCCCAAGACAAGGCAGCCUGGCAUGUCUUUGUUGACUCUUUUUGAUUGAAUUACAAAGAACAUGCCUUUCCCUAAUUUCUUGAAAUGUGUAGUGGUUUGCUUAUCGAUACCCAGUUUGGAUUUACAAUUUGGUGACCAUUUAGCUCUGAGUCUUGGCUUUUCCUGUAGAUGAUCCAAGAUUUCCUGGAAUUUUCUACAUGCUUGUAGAAGGGUCCAACUACUUGAAAAGCAAACACUGUUUUCUGUAGGAAAGGCUGCCUUCAAUGCAGCAUUUUGACUGCAGGAAACACGAAGGCAUCACCAAAGCCUAGGCUCUCUUGGGGAUGGUAGGGGAGGAAAAAACACUAUUAGGACUGUGUUCUAAUUCCCUUUUUAAAAAGUAAUAAAUGGUGGAGAAGUACUAUUAUGAGAGAGACAUAUGGAGUUUUUCACUGGGACCAAGAACUAUCACCUUGGGAGAUUUUCCUUCCUGGGAAACAGCCAGUUCCCACACAAGUGACGUGUUGACCAUAGUAGCAGAAUUGGAACCUGUGUAAAGACAUCCCAAUAGAUUUUUAGUUCCCUGGCUUAACCACUUGGCCAUGACUAAACAGUGAAUCUCUGUCUCAUUAGCACAAGUAGUCCUCACCGAGCUUCAUCUCUCUUCAAAAGAGGUCAAAUAUUGUAUCACAAAGUGUAUAUUUGUUGUCAGUGUUUCUUACUCUGACAUCAUGAUGCUCUUUUCUUCCUUAUAAAAUAAAUUCUAUUAAACCAGGGUGGAAUUUCAUUCCUGCAUCCUCACAGAUGUAGGUGUGUUGGGGCUUCAGGAACUCAGGAGGUGUCAGGAGGUAUCAGGUCAUUUAACGUGGAAAAUACUUUUCCCAGAGAGAGGGGCAGGGAAAAAUCAAAAGCUGAAAUACAGGUUCCACCGAGAUUUGAACUCGGAUCGCUGGAUUCAGAGUCCAGAGUGCUGACCAUUACACCAUGGAACCACGUGUGGGAACUCGUCUCCAUAAUUCUACAUGAUGGGUUAGAGUAAUUCUACUGAACGUAGUAGGUCAGUUAACGUUUUCAAUCUACAUCCACUCACGACACUCUUUUGAAGAAAAUCAUAAGGGACUUUAUCUUUUUUUUAUUUCUUUUUUUGCUGAAUACCCGAACCUAUGAAGUCUACCAUCCCCCUACAAUUAACUCGGAAAGUUAGUAGUCUUACUCCUUGCUUUCUUCGUUAAGAAACAAUGAGCAAGCAUUUCUUGGAUAUAACAUCCCUGGGUUGAACGUCUUUUAUUGAUGAUAUGGUUUAAUGUUUAAAAACUUGGUGAGGUUGGUAUUUUUAGUUCCUAUACAGACAGGUAAACUGAAUUUAGAGAUUUCAUGUCUCUUAUCUGCAAGUCUGCUAAAUCUCAGCCAUGAGAUAUUUUUCUCUAUCUAGAGUAGGUAGUUAUCAGGUCUAAUUCCUGUAAGAAAGCGAGCUUUAAUGUAUCGACUUCUGGCAAAUCCACAGAAGAAAAUUUGCAAUAGAAAUGUGUUUGAGACAAAAUGGGAAAGUUGUGCUUGAAGAAAAAGUCUGAAUUUUGUCACAUGUAGCGAUGGAUAAGGAGUGUAUCAGAGACGCCGCAUUUCAAGGUCAUCUGUUCGCCUCCAUCGCGAAGCAGAUGCCCAGCGAAGGCUCUCAACUGCACUCAAGAUGAGCUUACUGCUGUUGCGCAGACCUUUUCCUGGGGACCCAGUUGCAGAACAGGUUUCCAGGUCCUGAACGCGGUUUCCCCGGAGUCUACCCUCCACAGCCCUGCAGAGUCCCGCCCCCUUCGGCGUAGUCUCGGCUGCCCUGCGCACCCAGGACGCCCCGCAGGUUUAGCCGGAUGCUCCCGGGAGUCCGUGCUGGUGGGAUUCCCAGCGGGGGUGUGCAGCCAUCUCCCAGGACUGCAGAACGACUUCUUACACACUGGAAGAGAACUUACAACUAAGCGAGGCAACCAAGGGAAUCCCCGCUGAACCAACACCGCUGGCGGUCUGCGAGCGCCUCGCUGGGCCGCCGCUGCGCUCGGGGGCGCUCGUCGAAGGAAGA